CAAUAGCGUAUAUUAAAGUUGUUGCAGUUAAAAAGCUCGUAGUUGGAUUUCUGGUGGGAGCGAUCGGUCUGGCGCUUAGCGCGAGUACUUGCAUCGUCUCCGGCCAUCCUUGGGGAGAGUCUGUCUGGCAUUAGGUUGUCGGGCAGAGGAUCCUCAUCGUUUACUGUGAAAAAAUUAGAGUGUUCAAAGCAGGCUUAUGCCGUUGAAUAUAUUAACAUGGAAUAAUAAGAUAGGACUUUGGUACUAUUUUGUUGGUUUGCGCACCAAAGUAAUGAUUAAUAGGGACAGUUGGGGGUAUUCGUAUUCCGUUGUCAGAGGUGAAAUUCUUGGAUUUACGGAAGACGAACUACUGCGAAAGCAUUUACCAAGGAUGUUUUCAUUAA
rnacentral:rRNA from 1 species